rnacentral:rRNA from 1 species
UUAUUAUAUGUUUUUUUUUUAUUAAUUUUUUUUAAUAAUUUUAUUUUUUUUUAGUAGGUAUAAAUAAAUAAUUAGGGUUAUUUAACUGUAAAGGGUUAUUAUUUAUUGUUAUAGAAUUAAUAUUAUGUACCUUUUGUAUCAGGGUUCAUUUAAAUAAAAAUAUAUUUAUUUAUAUCCCGAAUUUAGUUGACUUAAGUUUAUAUAUUUAUUUAUGUUUCAUAAUAAUAUAGGAUUUAAAUUUAGUAAUUAUAAGUUAUUCGUUUCUAAGGAUAUCUGGUUAAUUAGUAUUAAAUUUAAUUUUAAUUAUUAUAUGUAAUUUAUGUAAUAAGGGAUAAUCUUUAUUAUUUAUUAAAAUUUAUUUUAUGAUAUAUUUAAUAUUAAUUAUAUUUUAAUUAAGUUUAUAAUAAAUUGGUAUAAUAAAUUAUGAUUUUUUUGUAUUUAAUAUCAUAUUAAUUUUUUUUAUUUAAUGUAUUUAUAUUUUUAAUAUUGAUUAAAUUAGUAUAAUUUACAAUUAUUAUUUUAUGAAUUCAACAAAUAUAUAUUCUCAAAUGUUUAUCAAAAACAUUUCUUUUAGUUAAUUUUUAAAAGUAUAAUCUGCUCAAUGAUUAAUUUUAAAUAGCUGCAGUAUUUUGACUGUACAAAGGUAGCAUAAUAAUUAGUCUUUUAAUUGAAGUCUAGAAUGAAUGAUUGAAUGAGGAAUAAUUUUUAUUUUUUUUAAUAUUAAAAUUUAAUUAAUUAGUGAAAAAGCUUAUUUAUUUUUUUGGGACGAGAAGACCCUAUAGAACUUAAUUUUAUUAGUAAAUACUUUAUAUUUUAGUUUAUAUUUUUACAAAUUUAUUUGUAAAAUUUAGUUGGGGUGAUUAUUAAAUAUAAACUUUAAUUUUAUUAUUCAUGGUUAUAUGAUUUUUUGAUCCAUUAUUUUUUGAUUAUAAGAUGAAGUUACCUUAGGGAUAACAGCGUAAUUUUAAUGGUAAGUUCAUAUUUAUAUUAAAGUUUGCGACCUCGAUGUUGAAUUAAGAUAUUAUUAGGGGGUAGAUUCUCUAAAGUAUAAGUCUGUUCGACUUUUAAUUUCUUACAUGAUUUGAGUUCAGACCGGUGUGAGCCAGGUCGGUUUCUAUCUAAAAAUAAAUUUAUUAUUCUAGUACGAGAGGACCGUUUAAUUCAAUAUUUUAUUGUUUAUAUUAAAU